GCAGUCUUCGGUCGAGGAGAGGGAGCGGCGAUGAGUUCUUACGGUGGGGCGGCGGUCCGUCGGCGAGCGGCGUCCUCCGUCUGGGGCAGUCAGAGAGAAGGGGCGGCAGGUCCUCGUGGCGAAGCGGCGAUCCGUCAGUUGGCGGCGUCCUCCGUCCGGGUGCCUGCACACGAACCGGUGGCCGGGUUUUCCGGCGCCGGCCCUCCGACGCUCAAGUCAGGGAGGGGGCAAAUAGUGUAGAAAGGGAGAUAAAUAAUGUCUGUACAGUGUAUCAAUCUUCCAACCCCCUCCUGAGAGGCCAAGGCUCCCUUUUAUAGGCGGGGGUCGGUUUACCUGCAGUGUAACAGGGCGAGGCCGUAGUACGGCUCGGCAUGUUGUUCAGGUCGGCGCAUGGUCAGGCGAAUCAUUGCUCUGAUGUCGGCGGUGAGGGCGUCGUAUAACCCGAA
rnacentral:lncRNA from 1 species